GAUGAACGCUGGCGGCAUGCCUAAGACAUGCAAGUCGAACGAAGUGUGCCGAUGAAGUUUGGAGUGCUUGCACAAAGAACGGAAUCGGAAUUGCACUUAGUGGCAGACGGGUGAGUAACACGUGGGUAAUCUACCUCGAAGACUGGGAUAACAGCUAGAAAUGGUUGCUAAUACCGGAUAAUUCUUAAUCGGAUAACUGAUUAAGCUAAAAGGAGCUUCGGCUUCACUUCGAGAUGAGCUUGCGGUGUAUUAGCUAGUUGGUGGGGCAAUGGCCUACCAAGGCAACGAUGCAUAGCCGAGCUGAGAGGCUGAACGGCCACAUUGGGACUGAGACACGGCCCAGACUCCUACGGGAGGCAGCAGUGGGGGAAUAUUGCGCAAUGGGGGAAACCCUGACGCAGCAACGCCGCGUGCAGGAAGAAGGUCUUCGGGAUUGGUAAACUUCUAUCAGCAAGGAGAUGAUGACGGU
rnacentral:rRNA from 1 species